rnacentral:rRNA from 1 species
AGUGAACGCUGGCGGUAGGCCUAACACAUGCAAGUCGAACGGCAGCACAGUAAGAGCUUGCUCUUACGGGUGGCGAGUGGCGGACGGGUGAGGAAUACAUCGGAAUCUACUUUUUCGUGGGGGAUAACGUAAGGAAACUUACGCUAAUACCGCAUACGACCUACGGGUGAAAGCAGGGGAUCUUCGGACCUUGCGCGAUUGAAUGAGCCGAUGUCGGAUUAGCUAGUUGGCGGGGUAAAGGCCCACCAAGGCGACGAUCCGUAGCUGGUCUGAGAGGAUGAUCAGCCACACUGGAACUGAGACACGGUCCAGACUCCUACGGGAGGCAGCAGUGGGGAAUAUUGGACAAUGGGCGCAAGCCUGAUCCAGCCAUACCGCGUGGGUGAAGAAGGCCUUCGGGUUGUAAAGCCCUUUUGUUGGGAAAGAAAAGCAGCAGGUUAAUACCCCGCUGUUCCGACGGUACCCAAAGAAUAAGCACCGGCUAACUUCGUG